rnacentral:lncRNA from 1 species
CAAUCUACACCCCAUGGCCAUUAAAAAGUUAUUCAAAUCAUGACGCUGCCCCCCACGGUUUAGGUUCUAGGGGGCGCCAAAGAUAACCCAAAAAUCCACAUUCUUAAAAGUCUUAUAACUUUUUAUUUUUGUCCUCACUGGCCUCCAAGUUUUGUAGGAUGAUGCAAUGUCCAGCAAUUAACACAUUUGUGAAGGAAUUUUUACUCCCCAAAAGAGCGCCCCCCCACGGCAGGAGAAAAAAGUCAAUUUUUUCUUGUCCCCUAAGGUGAAAAUACACAUUGUUGAGUGUCACGCCUGUACGCUUUGUCAUAUUGACACAAAAUUUGACCAUCACGUGUAUCUCAAUAAGAUCUACGAAAAAGUCAAUGUGUGCGUAUCUGUCAAAUGUACGAUAAAAGGGCUAUUUUGCAUUUUUUGCCGAUUCGCACACAUUGGAAUGUGGCUAACUCCUCCUAAGGCUUUCGUCCCACUGACACCAAAUUUGCUCAGGCCAAUCUACACCCCAUGGCUAUUCAAAGUUGUAAAAAUCAUGACGCUGCACCCCACGGUUUAUGUUCUAGGGGGCGCCUAGAGCACAACCUCACCUGUGUGAAUUUACAGUUAUUUUAUCAUUUUGACAUACUGUAUUUACACAAUGGACCCAAAUUCACACACAAAACAUAAAAUCCGAGUGGAAAAAAGUAACAUUUUUCCUGUGAAAACCACAAAUAUGUGUGAUGAACUGUUUUUAAAACUUAAACUUCAAAUAAAAUUGUAAACUUCAAAACAUAUGCAAAUUUUUAACAAAGAACAUAGUAAUUUACCCCUAUUUACAUCAAAAUGCAGGCAAUGGCCCAGGCGUUCUUUGUAAAAUUAUUUACAAAACACUGUAUAGUCUCACAAAUGUCACUUUUUAUUUAUGCCACUACAAAAAAACAUGAUGUAAAUGAUGCAUGAUGUAAAACAUGAUGUAAAAAACUUGUGUAGCUCCUCCUCUAUGUUAGUCCAUGUGUAAUUUUUCCAUAAUUCUUUGUUUUUUGCAGCAUUUUUGUUAGUGUAACUGCAGAUUGUGCUGACAGUGUCUAUGGCAAAAAAAAAAAAAAAAAACUGAAAAUGCCUCAACAUGAACCCCUGGUGGUCUCUGAGGGUGAAACCUGCUAACUGCUGCAGCUCUGUCAGCUUCAGUCUCCCAUGCAGAGCUCAGAGCGCAUGUGUGGCUCUGCACCCUUAGCAGCGUUGCCAACUCCUCAGUAAGGAAAGCCUGCUUCAUGUCAGAGUCUCUAAACUCCAGAAGAAGUCGAUAAAAUUCCCUUUCUUUCUAAAAAAAAAGUCGUUAGGGGGUCUGAAAAGUCAUUGAAUCUAACAACAAAGUCGCUAGGUUUGCAACUACGUGUCCCAGACUGCAUCCCUGCUGAGAGUCCCUCCCUCCCUUCUCAUAUUGCAGGAAGAACGUAAGCGCCCGCCCCUUGUCAAUCAGUCACCAUAUAAUUUUGGAUUGGUUGUUGUGGUGAAGUUUUCCACCAAUGGGAGAGAUGUUGUGGUGUGUUGUUUUUUUUCUUUGGCAAGCCUUUUCCGCCUGUAAGAGCUGUCGCUAAUGUCUGCAUGCUAUGUUUUUCUGUCUCAUACAGCGCGAUCGAGCGUCGAACGUGAUCAAAUAAGCAGAAAAAAAGUAUCACGGACAUAAUUUAUCAUAACUCUGGUUUUAUUUGGCCUAUCAACACAAUUUAAAAACUGGUAUAUAGUUUGAGGUCCUCACUUUUGAGAUAAGUUGAAACGGAGGGUGAACGAGGCUCCGUCUUGCAGCUACAUCCGGUUAAAUAUGUCAUGUGACUUGAACGCUGGGGAGCGUCAAUCGACUGCAGAGCCAGCAGACAAAGUAGUUAUGGCCACUGAGAGGCACACAUUUGUCAUAUGCUAUAAUCCUAACAUAUUUUAAUACUUUUUCUAUUUAAACCUCAUGGAUCUAAGCUUUGACCUUCAAAAUUUAGGAAGAAUAUGUUUUUGCAGUAAUGACCCCCUUAAACAACCAGAGGUCCUUUCCCAAAGUUUAUGGAAAUUUUAGUGAAGGGCUUGGUUUCUUUCCUUGCAAAAUGUAUAGAAAUAAUAAAGCUAAAUACCAUAAAAUGGUCUUGGCGUAUUAGCAGUGAUAUAAAAUAGUGGUUUGAAUAUGAAUGAACAACAAAAAAAAAAUAUCAACAGAGCCUUUUUGAGUUGGGAUUAUUUCAUUAUCACACAAAAACAGACAUAGACAGACAUCUAAAGGGUAAGGGAAUGAUCAGCCCUCCUAACUCUCAGAUGAAUCUUCAAAAUUCACCUCAGAAAUAUGCUUAUUAUUCUUCUCAGAGUACUGCAAGAUAUACACACACACACACACACACACACACACACACAGACACACACACACACACACACACACACACACACACACACACACACACACACACACACACACUCAGAGUCUCAAGAAUACAGAGGCUCCUUUUGCCCCUGAAAAAAAUCAAAUUUCAAACACAACUUGACUGCUCAUUUCUCCAAAAGACAACCAUGAAGCUCCAUCCAAACCUGAAGCAGGCAGUUGGUGCAUGUGUACAGUAACCUGAGGGGAGUGAGGUGACUGCUUCUGAGGAGAACAUGAGCAGUGAAGAUUCACCUUGAAGCUAGAACAGGGACGUGCACAUGAUUAUACAGGGGCAGGGGCUCAAGUUUUUUCCAGUCAUUUAUACAAUAUGGAAAUUAAUGUGAAAUUAAAAACAAAGUAUUAAUAGAAAGGUAAUGACUGUCCUGUGUAGGUGACAGUGAUAUCCAAUAGGCUAGGCACUCACGAGGCUGGCUGUGGCAAGUGUAAGUGAAAGCAA